GAUGAAGAACGUAGCGAAAUGCGAUACGUAGUGUGAAUUGCAGAAUUCAGUGAAUCAUCGAAUCUUUGAACGCACAUUGCGCCCGCUAGUAUUCUGGCGGGCAUGCCUGUUCGAGCGUCAUUUCAACCCCUUAAGCCCCCGUUGCUUAGUGUUGGGAGCCCACGGCCACCCCGCCGUCGCUCCUCAAAUCCAGUGGCGGAGCCGGUUCGCGCUCUAGGCGUAGUAGAUUUUCUCCAUCUCGCCUACGGCCGGGCCGGCCCUCCUGCCGUAAAAGAACCCCCCCUCCACAGAAGGUUGACCUCGAAUCAGGUAGGAAUACCCGCUGAACUUAAGCAUAUCAAUAAGCGGAGGA
rnacentral:misc_RNA from 1 species